rnacentral:rRNA from 1 species
UACGAAGGGGCUAGCGUUGCUCGGAAUCACUGGGCGUAAAGCGCACGUAGGCGGAUUCUUAAGUCAGGGGUGAAAUCCUGGAGCUCAACUCCAGAACUGCCUUUGAUACUGAGGGUCUUGAGUUCGGGAGAGGUGAGUGGAACUGCGAGUGUAGAGGUGAAAUUCGUAGAUAUUCGCAAGAACACCAGUGGCGAAGGCGGCUCACUGGCCCGAUACUG